AUUGAACGCUGGCGGCAGGCCUAACACAUGCAAGUCGAGCGGAUGAGAGGAGCUUGCUCUUCGAUUCAGCGGCGGACGGGUGAGUAAUGCCUAGGAAUCUGCCUGGCAGUGGGGGAUAACGUUCCGAAAGGAACGCUAAUACCGCAUACGUCCUACGGGAGAAAGCAGGGGACCUUCGGGCCUUGCGCUAUCAGAUGAGCCUAGGUCGGAUUAGCUAGUUGGUGAGGUAAUGGCUCACCAAGGCGACGAUCCGUAACUGGUCUGAGAGGAUGAUCAGUCACACUGGAACUGAGACACGGUCCAGACUCCUACGGGAGGCAGCAGUGGGGAAUAUUGGACGAUGGGCGAAAGCCUGAUCCAGCCAUGCCGCGUGUGUGAAGAAGGUCUUCGGAUUGUAAAGCACUUUAAGUUGGGAGGAAGGGCAGUAAGUUAAUACCUUGCUGUUUUGACGUUACCGACAGAAUAAGCACCGGCUAACUUCGUGCCAGCCGCCGCGGUAACAC
rnacentral:rRNA from 1 species